GCUGGGUGCAGUGGUGCAUGCCUGUAAUCCCAGCAGCUCAGGAGGCUGAGGCAGGAGGAUUGUGAGUUCAAAGCCUGCCUCAUCAAGGGUGAGACAGUAAGCAGCUCAGUGAGAUCCUGUCUCUC
rnacentral:sRNA from 1 species